UGCACGUGUCGUGGAGUGGCUGGAGGCAGUGAGCGGCGGUCGAUAUGGCAGCGACACGCGACGUGAGUCCAGCUUCAUUAAUAUGUACGGCGCGAGCCGGACGGCAGUAGGUGCUCGCACGCCCCGCGCCGGGUGCGGACCUGGCCGGCCGCUGUCCGACUAGCCGAGGUUUGUUGUGCGGUCAGAGCUUUGCUUACGAAUCUUUCCUCUUUAUUUACAAGUUACAUAGUAGGUACCUACUAGCUAAAAAUUCUCAAGUGAAAUAUUACCAAAUUCGUAAUUUUGUCAUUUUUGAGUAAAACAAUACUGUGCGAUUGUUAUUGUCAUAUUAAUUAGUUUACACCCACCACACCUGCGUUACAAAAGGAAGGAUCAAUUAUAUUUGUAUGUAACAUAUUGUUAGAACACCAUUAUUUUUUGUACUCGUUUAUGUCGUCGUGCGUUGAAACAAAACAUAGAAAAUAAAAUGUAAAAUGUAAUAUGAGGAAUAGCAAAUCGAUUCACAUAACGCAAUAGCAGGCGCAGCGUGCAAUCACAUGCACCGCGCCGCGCCACCGCGAGACGCCGCAAUGUGAUUUGUGAGCGACGCGACGCGACGCCCCGCGGCGCGCGGCAGCCGACGCGCGACGUCGCGGGGACAUGCUCCAUUGCUAGCAAAUGCUGUUCGCAAGCGACGCAGUAACAACAAAUAUACGAGUAGUGUCAUGUACCUGUACCUGCGUCUACUUACACACCAGUCGUGUGACACAAACCUGUCCCCGGCCGAGGCUGCGCUAUAUUCCCAUUGUGGCAGGCUCGUGUCAAACUCCAGGAACUGCAAGCACUGGCCAUGGCCAAUCAUUGAAAGUGAAACCCGGCGGCUGGAGUACUGGCGGUGGCCCACGUAGCACCGACCGACAAUAGCAGCACAUACACGCCGCCGCCGCUAUAAACAUUGAUUGCUCUGCAGCCUGUUAUCGCAGCGGUUAGCGUUAUCGUUUGCCUGUGCAAUAUAACUACACACUAGUCUCCUCGCCCUACUCCACACGGUUUGACUUUGUUUAACAUGCGCUUUAUUUUUUUCAGUUAGUGUUGACUUAUCAGUGACUAGUAGUGAGUCGGUAUAUACACGCGACUACACAGACGGCGACAUGUACAACGGGACAUUAAAUAAACCACCGACUCCAUACAUCGGCCUCGUUUGUCGGAACACACACACACACACACACAUAUGUAUGUAUAUACAUGCAGCGCUCCUCGUUCCAGUCAGCUACUAUUUCUUUUAUUACUCGUUACUCGGGCCGCGCGCCGCGCGCCGCUCGCCUGAGGUUAUUUGCUAAAAAUGUUGGCGAGCUCCGAACGAGCAAACUACUGUACCAAAAAAUCAUAAGCAAACAUUCCUACAACAACAUACAUUUGUGACGAUAAAUACGCACAGUACGGUAGUGCAAAUAUCGAGCCCUGUCUCAGCCGCGGCAUGUGACGUCACUGGCAGCAUGUUGCUCGCGCGCCUGGCACUGCUGCACGCCGUGGCCUGCCUGGACGUCCAGGUGGAGGGGGAGCUCGCCUUCGAGCUGCGCGUGCCUGGCGUGCGCAGCGGCAGGCAGGGCUGGUUCCGCGUGGACUGGGCGCGCAGCGCGGGCGCCCGGCCGCAGGAGCGGCUCAAGAUGCAGGCGCGGCAGAACGUGGCGGCGGCCCCCGACGGCGAGUGCAUCUACCAGUACCCUGAGAAAGAACAAGUGGACGCGCUGCUCAGUAACAUGAUGAACGAACUCACUAAGGUGUUCGUGAAAGCAAACGACUUUAUAAAUGGCGUGGAAACGAGACGCGGGGGAACCGGGGAGACUGACGGUCCACGCCCCGCGCACACUGGGCGCAUUCACUCCGGCGCAGCGAUCGAACAUGAUGGGAACAAUAAUACUGAGAUUACAGAGAACAAUACGAAGAAGGACUGACCCGCAAGUGAAGGCAGACGUGAACAAGGACGCGCCAGACGCGCCGCCGCUCAGGAGAGACGACAGCCGGUUCAAGGUGGUAAACAAAAAGGAGAAGGCGUUCUUUGAAGUAAUAUACUCUAAGAUGACAGAGGAGUACAGGCAGUUCUACAACCGCACGACGCGGCGCGCCGCACGCUGCACGACUAGCUGCGCGACCAGGGCGUGCAGCCGCGGGCCCGGGUGCGCGCGCAUCUCGCUCAGUUCCUCGCCAACGAGCUCUCCAAGGUGCACGCCAAGCAGCUCAAGAUGCUGUGCGACAAAUACCAGCUCUGUUUCAAUGAUCUCUUGGAGUGACUCCCACGGCCACGUGUAUUGCUUAGGCGCUGAAUGUUUCGGCUCAAUAUAAAACCUUCUGUCCGCUCUUCAAUUAUGAAAGCGGGUCCGAGUCUGAAGAAAGCUCCACAGAAUAUCUGCGCGCUACAACACAUGCAGUAGCUGCUGGCUGACCUCCACAAUGCACAACCUGCAAUGUGAGCUACUUUAACGAUAUUUUGAACUGUAGGUACUCGUUCUAUGUUUUUCUCUUUGGCUAUUAUCUAUACGAAUAUAACCCACGCCAAUGGGCACAAAGGACAAGGGAUGAAACCUCUCGCGUGAUUGCACCUACACGCAACCAUGCUAGCUGCUAGUUGCUAGCUGUCGUCCGCGACUUCCACCUACAAUAUGGACUUCUGGUAGAAUUUAGGUUUUCGAAAUAGUCUUCUCCAAGAUAUAUCCGGCUGUAAAUGAACAUUCCGCUGGAGGACGUUCCCGUAAGGUUUCUUUCUGUCCUUUCCCGGGUCGCGGUUUAAAGAAGAGAGUGCCGGGAUGUUAACGCCAUGAUUCCCGUUUCCGUAAGAUUUCGGGGUAAAUCUAUUUUCUAUCUUUUCCCAGGUUCUCACUAUAUCAUACACCAAAUUUCAUUCAAAUUGAUUCAGUAGUUUAGAACACUGAAAGUCUCGAGAUUUUAACGCCCUUGUUCCCGUUCCCGGGGAAUUUCUGAGACAAAACCUAUCGCACGUCCUUCUUCAAGUGUCAAAUUAUAUCUGUACCUAUACUCACCCUUUGAUCGGCUCCUAUUGGCCAUAGCGUGAUGUUUGAUGCAGCGAACGUGCUAUCCCUGGAACUACUGGUCUCUCUUCAAUCAAGGUAAACUUCUUUUGAAAUUGUUCCUGAUUUUUCUGUACUAUAAACCUGACGGAGCCCGAGACCUUUCCAACGAAUGCAAAACCGAGGAAAUCGGUUUUUGUGUUCUGGAGUCAUAGCGUCAGCAAGGAAAACCCGACUAAUUUUGAAAACAACACGCUACGAUCGAUGAGAGCCGAGCAGAGUGGGUGCAACCGCGCCAGAGUCGCUACUAUUACAUAUUUUAAUAAUCGAGCGAUCUUUUCAGCUGCAUUUAGGACCUAUAUUUUUUAAAUAAAAUACGUUAUUUUUUCUACGCUGAAAGCUUUGAAUAGAAAAUCUUUUCUAGCUAGCCAACUACCAGCUAGCUAAGUGUAGUAACUUUAAAAAUUAUUGUAAUAGU